rnacentral:misc_RNA from 1 species
GAUGAAGAACGUAGCGAAAUGCGAUAAGUAAUGUGAAUUGCAGAAUUCAGUGAACCAUCGAAUCUUUGAACGCACAUUGCGCCCUGUGGUAUUCCGCAGGGCAUGCCUGUUCGAGCGUCAUUUCAACCCUCAAGCUCUGCUUGGUGUUGGGCCCUGCCCGCUGCGGCCGGCCCUAAAGACAGUGGCGGUGCCGCCUGGCCCUGAGCGUAGUACAUCUCUCGCUCCAGUGCCCGGUGGUAGCCUGCCAGAACCCCAACUCUCGUGGUUGACCUCGGAUCAGGUAGGGAUACCCGCUGAACUUAAGCAUAUCAAUAAGCGGAGGA